AAGAAUGUGGUUGACAUCCCUUUAGUUACGUUUUCACGACUAGAAAAAUUAAUGAAGAGCAGCAACUUAGCUCCUUCGCAAAAUGUAAAUGAACGGGUUAUAAUCAAGAAAAUAUAGAAAGGUUCCACGCAAAAAUAUAUAUAUAAGGAACGAUAUGAAGGUUAUGCCCGUGUUGAUUUCCUCCAGAUGAUAGCAAAUUGAAGGCUUCUUCGUAGUAAAAUAAGGAGGAAGAUAAGGAGUUCUUGGCAAAUAAGAUUUACGGGCUUGGACGAAUAAGCGUAGCCAGUAGGAGAUUGAACAGGUAUGUAAGGCUUCACUCUUCCUUCUUUGGCAUGUCUUAGAUAUACUAGGUUUUAAAUACGAGCCUCGGAGACGAUCCUAUUCCUAGAAAUCCGAGUUUGAAAUUAACCUUUUUUCAUUCAAUAUAAUUGAAUUAAGCUUUCCAUAUCUUAUUGAGACAAUUGCAUCUAACGUCUAUAACUUGUCAAAUGAAAUCGGAUUACACUAAAACCUUCAUAGGUGUUGUGACUAUCCUAAUGAGAAUAUUUCUAUGAUGAAUAUGACAAAUAUGGUUUCAUGGUCAAAGAUCACGAGUUAUGGACUCAAUAUGAAUAUGAGAAAAUAGAGUUACUUCCAAAUCCUCAAUCUUAUUUCUUUGAACAUGACUCUACUUUCUAAAGACUUCAAGAAUACAAGGUGACGCCUUAUGAGGUUUGUGAUCUUAUUAUAUGUCUUCUUUUAAUACUACUCUACGUUUAUGGUCUCGCUUUAUAGUACUAGUUCCUCCAAGGCGAGACAAAGUGACCAUGGUUAUUCCAUCGGAGGCUACCGACCUUAUGUCACUCCGAUACGGACACGAUUUUCUUUAGGCUCUCAUGCAUGUUGUUUAUAUGUUAUAAGUAUAUGUAUAUGUAUAUGGGGAAGAUUGGAAGAGGGAAGGCGCUAUAGACGCACAGCCACCUGAUCAGUCGGAGUAUGGUACAUGAUAUCGUCCCGGACGCGGGAUAUAUGGUUAAAUGGAUCGGAGCCGACGCCUCGGUAAUAUGACAUGUUCUAUUUUCUAUAUAUAUGAAAAGAAAUGUCUUCCUAAGAAAGUAAAGUAAUAUGUAUAUGGACCGGGCUGCACGUUCCGCAGCAAUAUGUUACAGUAUAUGCACAUAUGGAUCGGGCUGCACGUUCCGCAGCAAUAUGAUAGACGUAUGGAUCGGGCUGCAAGUUCCGCAGCACUAAGCAUGCAUGGUACCCGCCAAAAGGCAUUCAUAUGUACAGGUACACCCAGAUGAGUAGAAGCUAUUAUAGAAGAUGUUCCAGCGAAGCUAGCAAGCUCCACUUGCUCUGGAGUGUCGCCGGGUCAGAGUACUAUGCUAUGAUGUCUUGUUCAAAGUUAGAGACUUUGCAGACAGAGUCGUGGGUAUAGAGUGUCAGUUUUGUAAGCGGCUUCAUCGGCCGAUGUGUUAUUAUGUUUUAUAUCACGAGUUUUAUAUGUUGAUAAAUUUUAUAUGAA